CUAAGAACCGCUUCUAUAUAUAUAUUAUUGUUGCGUGACGUCACCGGGCAACAAUUAUUGUGGGAUCUGGCGCCAGAGGUUAUGCCAUCAUCGGUCUAGCUCAGAUCGUCGUUGGCCACGACGAUAUUUCCUGAUCUUGUCGAUUCGGCCGGGGCGUCCCGAUCGCCAUCGCCAUGACCAUCAUCUCAGAUCCGCCUCUUGGACGUACGCAUAUAUAUAUUCUGGCGAUGGACUCAUGGCAUCGGCGUCAGUAGUGUGUCCCAUGCACCCUGUAAUAAUUGCCGUUGUUGUAUAUAAGCUAGCAUCCAAUGCAUGCAGCGGGUCUCCAGAGCACGCACACAUGCCACUACUACUACUCUGCAUGCGAUCGAUCGAUAUUCCUUUUUCGAUGUGAGUAAUUAAUUAAU
rnacentral:lncRNA from 7 species